AAGAGUAAAGUACUUCCGCUUCCUUAGGUGGAGCUGGAAAGGUGGAGGCGGAAGUGACUGAUCAAUUCAGGGGCGUGGGGUUCGUUUAGGUUUUGCCCUGUGUAUGACCUCGUUUGGAGCCAUGAAACCAGGUCUGUGAAAUUUAGUGUCUAUUUUCUACCAUAACACAUGUUAAUUUGGACUAACCACAUUUCGAGUGCUCAGUAGCCACAUGUGGCUAGCGACUACUAUCUUGAGCAAUGCAACGAUAAGUCUGCACUUACGUUCAAAAAGACUUAAAGCAGGGAUCGACAACCCCCAGGCCACAGACUGGUAUGGAUCCAUGGCCUGUUAAGAACUGUGCCACACAGCAGGAGGUCACCAUGUGUGAUGACUACAUCCAAAGAGAGUGAGUGGCUUGAGACAUUGGUAGUAUGUGUAUCUGAUCAUAUCAAUAUGUUAAAAUGACGUUCAAAGUAUGAUCUACCUCAGAAUAAUCUAGCCUCAAGCUUUAUUCUAGGAAGGUAAUUCUGAAGAUACCUAUCUUCUUGAGAGUGAAAUUUUAUGGAAUCCUAGAUUUCUCAUACCUAGGAAUAACAAUACAAGGGACAGAAUAGUUAGCAGUGUUCCUGUUGAAAGGUCCAAGUAUCUCCCUAGGCACAGAAAACACCCAAAUGAGCAAAGCAGACCUUGGUGGCCAGAGGGGAGCCCUCAGGUAGAGCUGCAGAUGCUGGCAGUUUGUGUUAGAAGGUUCCGGGGCUAAACAGAUGCCUAGAAUUAGCCACCAAAAGGUAAAUUGUAGACUCCACUCUUCAAGAAGCAGCAGAAGGAUUAGGAAUUCAAACAGUGCUAUUUUACGGUCAUAAGAACAGACAGUAUUUUUUUGGCGCAGCAAGAACUUCUUAGGCCAUAAAGCAUGACAGACCUCUUUUCCUUAUGCGCUGAAUUGAAGAAGUGCUGACUCUUUUGCUGAUGGUGGCUUUUCUACAAUAUAAAGAUGGAAAUGGGAAGAAGAUGUUCAUUGCAAAUUAAGGAAGCUCUUCCACGAGUUCACGAAUGGAAAUAACAUCAAGAGUUUUUCAUCUUCUUAGUGUGCAAGAUGUCUGAGGAAUAGUCUUAGUGGAUUAUCCCAAACUUGACACAUUUUUUGCAAAAUGCUAUACAAAAAGAAGAUACAUGCGAUUAUGACAAGAUUCUCCACUUGGUGUGACCAGUCUCAUACAACCCAAGGCUGUGUGUCCAAAGGCAACUGUACUGCACAUGACAGAAUUGCUCUGUUGAAGUUUUGCAAGGUCAAAUGACUCACUUUGUCUAAUGGAACGGGAACGAACAAUUUUUUUGUGUCACGUUUGAACAGAUACCUUUGAGAAGUUUAUGAUUCUCCAAGUUCUCUUUCUCCUACUGUGGCACCUACUGACAAGAUAAAUGUGUAGAGGUUCCUGAGUCUAGGGGCACUGGAACCAGCUGACUGAUCUAUGGAAGUUCCCUUGGUCUCCAUUUGUUUAGAAAAGGGACUGGUCAAAGGCUGACGUUUGCUUUUGGUGACAUUGCAUUAAUUGUCUCCCAUGAGACUGCUAGGGUGCUGAAGGGAUGAAGAAACUGAGGCCCACAGAAGGUGGGUGAUACCUGCAAAAUCACAAGCUUUCAUGGUGAAAGAAGAGGGCAAAACUCAACCCGUCUCUUUAGACUUGGGAAGAAUAUGAAAGGACCAGGAGGGACACCUUUCCUAAUAACCUAGCUGAUGGUUCACUUAUUGUAAGCACAUUCUCAAACAAGAGGCUGGAAAGCUGAAAAAUGACAUUCCCAGACUCCAUUGAAAUUAGAUUUCCAGAGGUGAUUUAUGUUCCACACAUCAGAUGUAUAUGCUCAAGAUUUGUUUAACAGGGAAGGAGGCAGUGGUGUGUGGGUCCCUUUUGCUCAUGUGAAUCUUACAGAGUUGUCUCACUAAGCCCAAAUUUGUCUAACUGGCCUUAUUUCCCUGGAGUAUAUCCUGGAAGUUUCCAUUCAAGCCAAUUUAAGUUACUUUAAAUUAGGAAAGGCAGAAAACAAAAGCCCAAACCUUUGUAAAGGAGGAGGAUUUGCUACAUUGUUCUCAAUUCAUCACAGAAGAGGAUGAAACUGAGUGAUUACACUUGCUGGAGAGAAAAAAAGUCCUUCCCCCGCUCACCCCAAAUAAAGCAUUAACUUUAUGUUAAUCCAUGAA
rnacentral:lncRNA from 1 species